rnacentral:rRNA from 1 species
AUACGUAGGGGGCGAGCGUUGUCCGGAAUGAUUGGGCGUAAAGGGCGCGUAGGCGGCCCGGUAAGUCUGGAGUGAAAGUCCUGUUUUUAAGAUGGGAAUUGCUUUGGAUACUGUCGGGCUUGAGUGCAGGAGAGGUAAGUGGAAUUCCCAGUGUAGCGGUGAAAUGCGUAGAGAUUGGGAGGAACACCAGUGGCGAAGGCGGGUAACUGGACUGCAACUGACGCUGAGGCGCGAAAGUGUGGGGAGCAAACAGGAUUAGAUACCCUGGUAGUCCACACUGUAAACGAUGAAUGCUAGGUGUAAGGGGUAUCGACCCCUUCUGUGCCGCAGUCAACACAAUAAGCAUUCCGCCUGGGGAGUACGGCCGCAAGAAUGAAACUCAAAUGAAUUGGCGGGG